rnacentral:tRNA from 1 species
UUAAUUGAAGCCAAAAUUUAGAGGCAAAUUAUUGUUAAUAAUUUUAAUGAAUUUAAUUUCCAAUUAAU